rnacentral:lncRNA from 12 species
UAAUAGUAGUUCAAAGCUAUUAUUAAUAUUGUGAUUAUUAUUGUAAUAAUGAUUCAUUUCUAAUCCUUUCAGAGGUCAUGACAGUAUUACUUUCAUUUUAUAAAUGGGUUGUGGAUAGAAUCUGGAUCUUUUGAUCUCCAACUUUCCCUGGAUCAUAUUCGUUUGACAUAACACAAAUGGAGUCGUUCACAGGAAGGAUCUUCACUUCAUUUGGAAACUGAGUGCUAACUGCCUGCAGCAAAAAUUCCUUUUCAAUUGGUAAACACCAUCUUCAUCUGUAACUAUCACUGUGAAACUCAGUAACCGCUUAUUAAGCACUUCGGAUAAGUAGAUGUGCUAGAUACUGGAUAUAAGACACCUGUGUUGCUAAAACAAAGCACCUGCCUCUUUGUAAGUUACAAACCCACAAGCUCAGAGAUUCUGUCCUUUAGGGGCUUGAAAAAAUGAAUUCAUAAGUUUAGCAAGGGGUUGGCAUCAGCUCUGGGCAGCAUUUGAUACUUGGAGUACAGCAGCAUGAGCAGCUGCCUUGGCCUAGAGCAGAAGCCGGGACAGAAGCUCAGGAACACACAACAGGAGGAACAAGCCCAUCCUUCCAAGAUGAGGUGCUGAGAAUGCACUGCUGUGCUCUUGACCAUGUGGAGUCAGACUAUCUGCUAGACAAGAAGAACAGGACCUCACGCUGAGAGAAAGUCUCCCAAGCUGAGUUUUCUGGAAAACAACUGGAUAUGGUAUUGGUCUUUAUUACAGUUUCCACAGACCGCCCCCCCCCCCCAAAAAAAGUUGUUUAUAAAACAAAAGCCGCAUACAAUUUGGUAUGGUAACAUUUUUUAGAAUCUUGUUUUUGCACAGCGGAAACCAGGGCUGAUGUGGUCAUGGUGGAAACGGAGCCAGUUCUGUUACCCCAAAGCACCUCUCCUAAAACCCUAAACGGAGUCAGCCAGCCUGGCCUGGCCAGGAACAGCCGGCAUUGUUUGGCUCUUUGGAGAGCCUUCUGGACGCGGUUCGCGAGCGGGCUGCGGCAAGGCCCCCCAGCCAGGCCCCCCGCCAGGCCCCGCAGGCCGCCCACCGGGCUCCGAGGGCUCCCCGGCUCAGGGUGCUCGCCGGGCUCCGGGUGCUCGCGGGGCUCCGGGUACUCAGCUGGCUCCGGGUGCUCGCUGGGCUCUGGGUGCUCACCGGCUCCGGGUGCUCGCGGGGCUCCGGGUACUCAGCUGGCUCCGGGUGCUCGCUGGGCUCUGGGUGCUCACCGGCUCCGGGUGCUCGCGGGGCUCCGGGUACUCAGCUGGCUCCGGGUGCUUGCCGGGCUCUGGGUGCUCAGCCAGCUCCGGGUGCUCAGCGGGCUCUGGGUGCUCACAGGGCUCAGGUGCUCGCCGGGCUCCGGGUACUCGCCAGGCUCCGGGUGCUUGCCGGAUCCGGGUGCCCACUGGCUCCGGGUGCCUGCGGGGCUCCGGGUGCUCUGCGGGCUCCGGGUGCUCGCGGGGUCCAGGGUGCUCGUCGGGCUCCUGGUGCUCAGCCAGUUCCGGGUGCUCGCCGGGCUCUGGGUGCUCGGCGGCUCCGGGUGCUCGCGGGACUCCGGGUGCUCAGAGGGCUCCGGGUGCUCACUGGGCUCCGGGUACUCAGCUGGCUCCGGGUGCUCGCCUGCUCCGGGUGCCCGCGGGGCUCUGGGUGCUCGGCCAGCUCCAGGUGCUCGGGGGGUUCGGAGUGCUCUCGGGGCUCCGGGUGCUCACAUGCUCCGGGUGCUCGCCAGCUCCAGGUACUCAGCUGGCUCCGGGUGCUCGCCUGCUCUGGGUGCUCUCGGGGCUCCGGGUGCUCGCCGGCUCCGGGUGCUCUCCCGGCUCUGGGUGCUCGCCGGCUCCGGGUGCUCGCAGGGCUCCAGGUGCUGGGCCAGCUCCAGGUGCUCGGGGGGUUCGGAGUGCUCUCGGGGCUCCGGGUGCUCGCCGGCUCAGGCUCGGGAGCGCAGAGAACCUGCCGGCUUCCCUCCUUUCUUCCGAUCCGCGGAGAGUUAACCAGGGGCGCCCUCCGGGACGCCGCCGUGGUCCCCAGGGCUCUCGUCUUUCCUCUCCGCCGCUCAGACGUCCUGGGCGAACCAGACACCUCUCCUGCUUGCAGCUCUUCAGUUCUUGGUCAGUGAAACAUGCCAAACGAAACAUCCAAGUUUCCUGAUGUUUCCAGCCAGAUCAUGUGAAAACUAAAGAAAAUCCAUGUUUGCUGGCUUGGAGAACAGGAGUUAACAAACUACUUUUUAAGCUCAAAGGAAGUGACUUACAAGAAAGCCAGACUCAUGAUGAGACAGUAGGACGUGUAGGAAUUCUAUUAAAAUGUGGGCAUUGAGAGUCCUCCUGUAGUGAGUGGCUGUGUCUUCACAUUCCAUACAACCAGAAUAAUCUAGUUUCCUCUCGCUGCCAUUCUGUGGUGAAAAAUUAAAUUCAGUGCUGCAAGCAAAAGUUUGUGGGGGCGAAAGAUUUGGAAAUUUCGGAGGCUACCGUAGUAUAGAAACUGGUUUUUUUGUUUGUUUGUUUGUUUUGUUUUGUUUUAAGAUUUUAUUUAUUUAUUCAUGAGAGAGAGGCAGAGACACAGGCAGAGGGAGAAGCAGGCUCCAUGCAGGGAGCUCGACAUGGGACUCGAUCCCAGGUCUCCAGGAUCAGGCCCUGGGCUGACGGCAGCCCUAAACCGCUGAGCCAGCCAUGCUGCCCGAAUAGUUUUUAUACAUAUAUUUUCCUAGGAAAAUGAAAAAUGGAUACUUGAUUUAUUUGAUCCAUUCAGUGACAUGGUGACUCGGGGCUGGACAGGAACAGACUAGGUUCCUGCCCUCAGGAGCUCACAUGUGAUGAGUGAGGAA